rnacentral:rRNA from 1 species
CCUACGGGAGGCAGCAGUAGGGAAUCUUCCACAAUGGGCGAAAGCCUGAUGGAGCAACGCCGCGUGGGUGAAGAAGGUCUUCGGAUCGUAAAACCCUGUUGUUAGAGAAGAAAGUGCGUGAGAGUAACUGUUCACGUUUCGACGGUAUCUAACCAGAAAGCCACGGCUAACUACGUGCCAGCAGCCGCGGUAAUACGUAGGUGGCAAGCGUUAUCCGGAUUUAUUGGGCGUAAAGGGAACGCAGGCGGUCUGUUAAGUCUGAUGUGAAAGCCUUCGGCUUAACCGGAGUAGUGCAUUGGAAACUGGGAGACUGGAGUGCAGAAGAGGAGAGUGGAACUCCAUGUGUAGCGGUGAAAUGCGUAGAUAUAUGGAAGAACACCAGUGGCGAAAGCGGCUCUCUGGUCUGUAACUGACGCUGAGGUUCGAAAGCGUGGGUAGCAAACAGGAUUAGAUACCCGUGUAGUC